AUUGAACGCUGGCGGCAGGCCUAACACAUGCAAGUCGAACGAGUGGCGGACGGGUGAGUAAUGUCUGGGAAACUGCCUGAUGGAGGGGGAUAACUACUGGAAACGGUAGCUAAUACCGCAUACCAUCGGAUGUGCCCAGAUGGGAUUAGCUAGUAGGUGGGGUAAAGGCUCACCUAGGCGACGAUCCCUAGCUGGUCUGAGAGGAUGACCAGCCAAGCUGGAACUGAGACACGGGCCAGACUCCUAAGGGAGGUAGCAGUGGGGAAUAUUGCACAAUGGGAGCAAGGCUGAUGCAGCCAUGCCGCGGGAAUGAAGAAGGCCUUCGGGUUGGAAAGUACUUUUAGCGGGGAGGCGUUACCUGAAGAAGAAGCACCGGCUAACUCCGUGCCAGCAGCCGCGGUAAUUC
rnacentral:rRNA from 1 species